GACGAACGCUGGCGGCGUGCUUAACACAUGCAAGUCGAACGGAGUGGCGAACGGGUGAGUAACACGUGGGUGAUCUGCCUUGCACUAUGGGAUAAGCUUGGGAAACUGGGUCUAAUACCGGAUAUUGCAAGAUGAGCUCGCGGCCUUUCAGCUUGUUGGGGGGGUAAUGGCCUACCAAGGCGUCGACGGGUAGCCGGCCUGAGAGGGUGUACGGCCAACGUGGGACGGGGAUACGGCCCAGAGUCCGACGGGAGGAAGAAGUGGGGAAUAUUGCACCAGGGGUGGAAGGCUGAUGCAGCGACGCCGCGGGUGGGAUGACGGCCUUCGGGUUGUAAACUCCUUUCGACAGGGACGCGGUACCUGGAUAAGAAGCACCGGCUAACUACGUGCCAGCAGCCGCGGUAAUUC
rnacentral:rRNA from 1 species